ensembl:lncRNA
GGGGAACCGGGUACAUCGGGCGUCCGCCGAUGUCGUGGGGCAGGGGCAGAGGGGUGCCCCGGGGGGCUGAGGCUGAUCCUCGGGAUGGGCGCCCCCCCCCCUCUUGGGGGGCCCAGGGAUAUGGGGUGCGCCUGGAGGAUGGAGGACCCCGAAAGUGCCGGGUGCCCUCAGGGAUACGGGCUGUGCCUGGGGAGAAGGUUUUGCAACCUCGCUUCCUCCCCGGGUGGCAUAAAUCGGACAGCGGAGGGAAGGGGUGCCAGGAGGCAGCACAGUGGUGGCUGCAGGUGAGGGACCUUCUGACUGGCCUGGCAGGACCCCCAGGUCUGGUGCUGCUCCACGUCCUCCCACACUCUGCACCGGAGCCCUUUGGGAGUGACACCUGGAUUUUUCCCUGUGCCCGGGUGCUUCCCGGUGAGAACCAACUUGGGACCAAGAGAAGACCCCAGAUUUGGGAGAACGGUGAGGGCAGCGAGUGGUGAGUCCCUGGUGUGUUCCACUGGAGAUCAGGGCUUUCCUUGGGCUGUGCUGGCUCCCCCAGCACCCGGCUGAGCCCCCUCACAUGUGGGGAGCCAGCUGGGCUGGGGGCCACAGUGGCUGCUCUGGCUGCCUGAGGGUCUGCCUGGUGCAGGGGGAGUGGAAGGCAGCAGGUGGGGCCACCUGGGACUGUGCUUAGAGCUCAUUUGGGGUGCAAACCUCUUGUGGUCCCCAGGGACAUCAGCUGUGGGUGCCGCAGGGGAGAAGCGCCCGCUCCCAUUUCCUUGCACAGCCAUGAAAUGAAAGGGCGCUUCCUCAUGGUGUAUCCCUCCUUCCUCCCCGUGGGAACCCCCGGGGCCACGCCAGUGUCCCCCAACCCUUCCAGGGUCAGGAGGGGAAAUGGGGUGCUGCUGGUUCUCCUGGCUGGGCUGGCUGUGGGGUACCUGCAGUUGAGGGAUACCCGGUCCUGCAGGAACCACUGUGAUUUUGGAGUGGGGAGGCAGAAAGAAGCAGCCAAAAAUAGACCGAGGGGAAGCACUGGUGUCUGGCUGUGCCCCGUGCCUGUGGCAGCCCCACUCGGGGGGACCUUGACCCAUCGGCAUUGCCAAGCCCUGGAGGGGCUCGGGGCCUCAGAAAUGGGGCAGAGGGGUGAAAUGAGUCUGGAUCCAUACUGGAAGAAGGCUGAAACCCAAUGGUCUUUGGGGAGGCAGGGACAAAGCAGGAUGUCCUACGUGUGAGGAGACAGGAAGAAUGACUGUCACCUGUGAUUUCCACAUCGUGGCUGAGCACAGGGGACAUGGGGACACCUGGCAGUGCCCGGCUGAGCAACAGGAAAACCAGAGAUGUGUAAUAUUUUCAAAGCCGCAAAGGGUGACAUGUCUCUCCAUCCGGCAGUGAAACCACCCGCACAGGGACAGGAUUGGGGCAGGGGAAGAAGGGCAUGAAACCACCUUCAGACAUUCCUCAGUGCCGCCAGCCCCAUGCACUGUGACUGCAGCCUCACCACCAGCUGGGCUGGCAGGAGGGGCAGCUCCAGCAGUGAUGCUUGAGGGGAUGGAGAAGCUGGAGGGACCCAGAGGUGCUUGGAGGAUUUUGGAGGUGCCUGAGGGACCCUGAGAUGCUCAAAGAGCUCAGAGGAUUUUGAAGGACCCACACACAAUCCAGGGGGACCCAGGGAUGAUGGAGGGGCCAGGUGUCUCCUGGAGGGAUGUGAUGCUGCAUUGAUAAGGGAGCCCUCCAACUCAGGAAGAGGUGGCUGGUCUGUGGGGUCCCCUUUCCUCUGUGGGGGACAAUGAAGGGACAGAGUUGGAGUGAAGUGCGGCAGACUGAGGGGUGCUGGGGGUGUUGUACAAAAAGACAUAUGAGGGUCAGUGUGCACCUGCAGUAGAGUGAUAGAGAGGGGCUGCCCACUGGCUGGGAAGGGACCUGGGGGACAAUGGAAAUGCCAGGGGACCCAGAGACACUGUCACCCCUGGCCCAUGCCACCCUCCCACCCCACCCUCAAGCUG